UACGAAGGGGGCUAGCGUUGCUCGGAAUUACUGGGCGUAAAGCGCACGUAGGCGGCUUUCUAAGUCGGGGGUGAAAUCCUGGAGCUCAACUCCAGAACUGCCUUCGAUACUGGAGAGCUCGAGUCCGGGAGAGAUGAGUGGAACUGCGAGUGUAGAGGUGAAAUUCGUAGAUAUUCGCAAGAACACCAGUGGCGAAGGCGGCUCACUGGCCCGGUACUGACGCUGAGGUGCGAAAGCGUGGGGAGCAAAGCA
rnacentral:rRNA from 1 species